UACGUAGGGGGCAAGCGUUGUCCGGAUUUAUUGGGCGUAAAGCGCGCGCAGGCGGUCUACCAAGUUCGGAGUGACAGUUUCCGGCUUAACCGGAAAAGGUCUUCGAAAACUGGUGGACUUGAGGACUUGAGGGGGAGACGGAAUUCCGGGUGGAGCGGUGAAAUGCGCAGAUAUCAGGAGGAACACCAAUGGCGAAGGCAGAUCUCUGGGCCGUAACUGACGCUGAGGAGCGAAAGCAUGGGGAGCGAACAGG
rnacentral:rRNA from 1 species